GUCUGUCUGUCUGUCAGUGUGUGUCUGCCUGUGUGUUUGUCUGUCAGUGAGUGAGUGUAUGUCUGUCAGUGAGUGUCUGUGUGUGUCUGUCAGUGUCUGUUUCAAUGUCUGUGAGUGUCUGCCUGUAUUCUCACCUCAUAGUCCCUACCCCCUAUCACAGCCCAUAUUCCUCCACAUUAGUCAUAACCCUCUCACACAAUGCAGCAUAUAUCCCCUGCAUACAUCGC